UACGUAGGGGGCAAGCGUUGUCCGGAUUUAUUGGGCGUAAAGAGCGUGUAGGCGGCCAUUCAGGUCAGCUGUGAAAACUCGAGGCUCAACCUCGAGACGUCGGUUGAAACCGUUUGGCUAGAGUCCGGAAGAGGAGAGUGGAAUUCCCGGUGUAGCGGUGAAUGCGCAGAUAUCGGGAAGAACACCCGUGGCGAAGGCGGCUCUCUGGGACGGUACUGACGCUGAGACGCGAAAGCGUGGGGAGCGAACAGG
rnacentral:rRNA from 1 species